rnacentral:rRNA from 1 species
UUAGAGUUUGAUCCUGGCUCAGAACGAACGCUGGCGGCAGGCUUAAUAUAUGCAAGUCGAACGCCCCGCAAGGGGAGUGGCAGACGGGUGAGUAACGCGUGGGAACGUACCCUUCGGUUCGGAAUAACCCAGGGAAACUUGGGCUAAUACCGGAUACGUCCGCAAGGAGAAAGGUUUACUGCCGAAGGAUCGGCCCGCGUCGGAUUAGCUUGUUGGUGGGGUAACGAGCUACCAAGGCGACGAUCCGUAGCUGGUCUGAGAGGAUGAUCAGCCACACUGGGACUGAGACACGAGCUAGACUCCUACGGGAGGCAGCAGUGGGGAAUAUUGGACAAUGGGCGAAAGCCUGAUCCAGCCAUGCCGCGUGAGUGAAGAAGGCCCUAGGGUUGUAAAGCUCUUUCAGCGGGGACGAUAAUGACGGUACCCGCAGAAGAAGCCCCGGCUAACUUCGUGCCAGCAGCCGCGGUAAUACGAAGGGGGCUAGCGUUGUUCGGAUUUACUGGGCGUAAAGCGCGCGUAGGCGGAUUGUUAAGUCAGGGGUGAAAUCCCAGGGCUCAACCCUGGAACUGCCUUUGAUACUGGCAAUCUGGAGAUCGGGAGAGGUUGGUGGAAUUCCGAGUGUAGAGGUGAAAUUCGUAGAUAUUCGGAGGAACACCAGAAGCGAAGGCGGCCAACUGGCCCGAUACUGACGCUGAGGCGCGAAAGCGUGGGGAGCAAACAGGAUUAGAUACCCCGGUAGUCCACGCCGUAAACGAUGAAUGCCAGCCGUUGGCGGGCUUGCCCGUCGGUGGCGCAGCUUAC